AAAUAAUAUUUUUUCAACCGAUCAAAAGCGAUGAUACGUGGUACGAAAAAUGCUUUUUUGUUACACUUAGGGAAAUGCAAUUAAGGAUUCCAAAAGGUUUCAACCCAGCCUUGAUAGUUCUACUUGUUAUUGUUGGGUUGCUAUUGACAUUCCUAAUUGGAAAUAAUGUGCUCUACAUAUAUGCAGAGAAGAUUAUACCUCCUAGAAAGAAGAAGCCAGUUUCAAAGAAGAAGCUGAAAAGAGAGAGACUGAAGCAAGGUGUUUCUGCACCCGGAGAGUAGAGAUUGUUUUUUUGGUUUCCCACAGGUAUCCUCGCACUGGAGGCAAUCCUGUCCGAGCCGGGAACAUGAGAGUAGAGUAGAGUAGAGAUUUCAUGCUUUGACUCAUAAAUGAAUUAGUACUUUAGCAAUAUAUUUGAGACAAUGUCUUCUCUCAUAUCCCAAACAGAAAAGAAAAUAUCCAAUUGAAGUUAAAUAUACACUCAAACAUAAAACUAUCAUUGGCAUCACCAUGCAAUUCUCAAUAUACACACAUGUUUUCUGUAUACCAGAUACCAACUUCUCAAAAUCAUUACAUUCUCUUAGAAGAAAAUAUAUAUUGUUUCUCUAUGAGAGCCAUAAUGUCUUAACUUGCUUAUAACACUUCUUCAUCCAUGCACUUUCUUAACCUGUAAUAGAGAGGCAUUAACAACUAGAAAAUUAUACAAUGUAAGAGACAAGAAAAGCAGAAUGAGGAAACUAGUUAUAUAUGCUUAACUAUACUAACAAUAUUCAACAACAAAAAAAGAAUUAUAUAUGGUUUCAUUAUAUAUUAUUAUCUUCCGCAUAUAUAUAAUUGGGUCAUGGAUAUGUGGAAGAUAAUUGAUUAGUUACAUGUAUAAUUGUAUAGCAUGGUUCAAUUAUCAAAUUGGUUACAUGUUACCCCAUCUAAGUUAUACAUGUAAUGACUUUGUUACCAUGAAAUUCUUGGUUUAGUUCAGAGCCAAAUUUAUGUGUUUCUGUAAAACACUCAUAAAGACAUGAGUGUUGAAGUGGGGUAUGUGUCAUGAGUAUCGAUCAUCUUCAUUAAUAAAGAGACAAGUUCUUGAAAAUCAAAGAAAAUCUAUGAUAUAAUGACACAUUUAUCCUUUUAACUAUAAUAAAAUAACAUAUUUGUCAUUAAAAAUAUAAGAAAAUUGAAACAUUUGUCUCUCCAAUCCAGUACUGGACAGGAUUCCUAUUCCAAUUUCAUAUUCUCUAUCUUAUUUCUCAUAUAUUAACCAUAAACACUUAAAAAAUGAUUUUGAUCUUAAAAGAACUUGAUCUUAUUUCUCAUAUACAUUGAUCUCUCUUUUACUAUUCCUAAGAUUUGCACAAGAUUCUCUUUUACAUCAUUUUUGUUCUCAAACCACAUUCUCUUAUUCCUUUUUUCCUUCUAAUAAAAACCCAUAAUUUUUUUUUUCUUCAAUCAUUUUUCUCAACUCCUAUACCAUAAGAUUCAAUGGUUUUCAAAGAGCAUAAAAGAUAGAUCACUUACCCUAUCUUCCUUAAUAGCAUUGCUACCCAUUAAGCCAUGAGAAUGAUCAGGAGGAGGAACAGAUGAAUGUGUCUCAGGACCUCUAUAAUCAAUCUCAUAUAUCUCUGAAUCCAUUGCUUCAGAUCGUGUUCCUCCUACAACAAUUACAUUAAAUAUAUAUGUAAAUAUAUAAUUAAAUAGGUAUACAAAAAGAGAGUGCAUGUGCAUGUGCAUGUUAGUAGAAGAUACAAACCUAUUGAGAAAUAAGGAAGAGUAAGAAUGAGAAUGAGAAAGAAGCUAGUGAUGAAAGUGGACCUUCGCUCCAUAUAUGUUAUGCAGAAAUUUCUUAAUGUUUUUUGUUCUAAGAGUAUAGUCUGAAGUUUUGUUCUUUAUAGAGAAGAAAUUGAAAAAAAAGUUAAGGGUUUUAAUGAGAUUAGAAUUAUAGUGGGGACUAUAUAGGUAGAUUCAAUGAAGAAACAUGGACAUGGCAUAGCCAAGAAGCUAGAGAAGUUUUUAGUGUAGAUUUCAUUGCUUUUUCUCUAUUUUUCUUGCUUUAGCUUAUUGCACUAUCAACACAGCAAUAAGUGCAUAGGUACAGUUGUGG
rnacentral:lncRNA from 1 species